rnacentral:rRNA from 1 species
GACGAACGCUGGCGGCGUGCCUAAUACAUGCAAGUCGAGCGGAGCACUUCGGUGCUUAGCGGCGGACGGGUGAGUAACACGUAGGCAACCUGCCCGUAAGACCGGGAUAACUACCGGAAACGGUAGCUAAGACCGGAUAGCUGGUCCCUUCGCAUGGAGGGAUCAUGAAACACGGGGCAACCUGUGGCUUACGGAUGGGCCUGCGGCGCAUUAGCUGGUUGGUGGGGUAACGGCCUACCAAGGCGACGAUGCGUAGCCGACCUGAGAGGGUGACCGGCCACACUGGGACUGAGACACGGCCCAGACUCCUACGGGAGGCAGCAGUAGGGAAUCUUCCGCAAUGGACGCAAGUCUGACGGAGCAACGCCGCGUGAGUGAGGAAGGCCUUCGGGUCGUAAAGCUCUGUUGCCCUAGACGAACGCCUUUUGGAGUAACUGCCAAGAGGGUGACGGUAUAGGAGAAGAAAGCCCCGGCUAACUACGUG